rnacentral:RNase_P_RNA from 1 species
CCUGCAAAACGUUCUAUCGCUUUCGUCUGAGUACGGGAGAGGAAAGUCCGGGCAACAUAGAGCAUCCUGCUUCCUAACGGGAAGGCGUCGGCAGCCGGCGACAGCAAGUGCCACAGAGAAUAUACCGCCCCGGUUUACCGGGGUAAGGGUGAAAACGUGAGGUAAGAGCUCACGGCUUUUCCGGGCGACCGGGAUUGCGGUAAACCUCAGGAGUUGAAAAACCAAAUAGGUCCUGGAAGUGGAGCGGCUCGUUCCCGUAUAUCGAUUUUAUCGGUAUCGUCAGGAUGGGUAGGUUGCUUGAACCUGUUAGCAAUGACAGGGCCAGAUUAAUGAUAGAAAUCAGCGCAGUAAUGCGAUGAAACAGAACCCGGCUUACAGGUUUGCUGCUGAU